GUUGAUGGAAAGCACAUAACAUCUUUUGCUUUUCGUGAAAGUUUGGAGCCAUGGCUUGUUAGUCAAGUAAGGAUAUCUGGAGACUUGAACUUAAUCUCUAUCUUGGCCAGUGGCUUACCCUCAUCUGAGGAAUCAGACCACAUUGUUGAUUUAGAGUCAUUAAAAUCAGCUCAACUACCACCCAACUGGAUCUCUUCAUUGGUGUCUUUUCUACAGCCAACAAUUUUGAGCGCAGGACGGCUGUUCGUAGAACAUGGAUGCAGUACCCCGC
rnacentral:misc_RNA from 1 species